AAAAUGAAUUUAAUCUCUCUAGAAACAGUGUUCUGAUUUUACAAAUGUCCACAUUUGGUUUUCAGUUCACCUAGAUGAUGUCAGUACAGCUAGUGAAAUGGAGCACACCUCCUUCAGUCCCUCGGCCUCUGGAAGAAACUAGAUUGCCGAGACACUGAGUACAGACGCUAAUGGAACUCAGAAUGACGUGACAAGAGCAGAAAUGUUGAGAGAAAGGGAAAAGGUGCUUCACAGCACGGCGUGCUUCUGUGAAAACUCCACCGCUCUUACGUUAAUUUUCACCAACCGUGUCAAAAAUCGGACUCAAUAUUUUAAGUAGAAAGCAGUCGGCAUUCCCUGUGGCCACUGGAACGCUUGAGGUGGAAUGACGUCAUGCCUUCGAAAGUGCUGCCGGUAAGUUUUCCAUGCUGCCUUGUACACAACACGCGACCAAAGGGCGGUCUGCUUCAUUCAAUCAGAGUUAUUUUAUAAAGUGCUUGUGUUGAA